rnacentral:lncRNA from 1 species
GGCCGUUCACAGUCGUCUGGUCGGGGCCGGCCGUUCACAGUCGUCUGGUCGGGGCCGGCCGUUCACAGUCGUCUGGUCGGGGCCGGCCGUUCACAGUCGUCUGGUCGGGGCUAGCUGUUCACUAUUAUACAGUUAACAGGAAAAGCAAUCAAAACUUUAAAAUAUUGUUGUUUUCAAGGGCAGGAUAACACAAGGCUACUGGUCUGGCUACACUGACCGGCUACUACUGGACAGCGCUACAACCCUACAGACUUGUCACCAAGUCCUAAGUGAAAGCUUGACGCACUGCACUUUGAGAAAUGCAGUGUUUAGGACUAGAUGGACACCAUGUUCAGAUACAUGUAACUCACAUAAGCCCUUACUUUAUAAAAAUCAAUGAAUAGGAGAAUUUCUUGACUAACUCAAAUUCUGUAAUUGUAUGCAAUAACAGUUGGCAUAGCUUGGAACACAAACGCAUCCAUAACUGCCAACUCAAAUCCAUUUAUUUUCAACCAAACAUCUGUUUUGUUUGCCCGUGAGUUCAGAACAUCUCACAGGAAGUCCUGAUGACUCACUUUACUGGAACACCUCAGAUGUCAUUUCCCCCUCGACAGGUUUGAUUUAAUCUAUUUCUGUCCAUGUUGCUAGGAGGUUAUGAAGACACACAGGAAACUAAUUACACACAGGGAACUGUGGCAUCAUCACACAGCCAGGGAACUGUGGCAUCAUCACACAGCCAGGGAACUAUAGACAUUUUGUAUUUUAUUAGGAUCCCCAUUAGCUGUUGCAAAAGCAGCAGCUACUCUUCCUGGGGUCCACACAAAACAGAAUGACAUAAUACAGAUCAUUAGACAAGAACAGCUCAUGCAGGGAGCUGUGGCAUCACCACACGGCCAGGGAGCUGUGGCAUCACCACACGGCCAGGGAGCUGUGGCAUCACCACACGGCCAGGGAGCUGUGGCAUUCCACCACCACCUGCAGGGGGGAGCUGUGGCAUCACCACACGGACAGGGGAGCUAUAGACGGCCAGGGAGCUGUGGCCUCACCACACGGCCAGGGAGCUAUAGACGGCCAGGGAGCUGUGGCAUCACCCACAAGGCAGGAAGCCUAUAGACGGCCAGGGAGCUGUGGCCUCACCACCCACGGCAGGGACGCUAUAAGAGGCCAGGAGCUGUGGCAAUAACCCCCAAGGCCAGGCGAGCUAUAGACCCAGGGUAGCUGUGGCAUCACCACACAGCAGGGAGCUAUAGUACGGCCAGGGAGCUGUGGCAUCACCACACAGCCAGGGAGCUAAGACGGGCCAGGGUGGGCCAGGGAGCUGUGCAUCACCACCAGCCAAGGGAGCUUAUAGACGGCCAGGGAGC